CCAUCUCAAACUCUCCAGGCAGCAUAUACCGCCACGGAGCGCACAGGCGUGUUGGCGUCCACUGGAGCGCACUGACUGUUUAGGGCGGGAUGGACCCUGAAUCAGAGGACCGCUGAGGCUUGUUGGCUAGAAGAGGUGGAAGCUGAAGGCGUGUGGAGGAGGAGGAGGAGCAGGAGGAUGGUACCAGUCAGUGGCGAUUUAAUUCCGGCUGAAGCGGCUGUCUUUACUAGGGGUGGAGGGGUACAGUAGUCCACCGCCUGGCAGUAUAAUCCGCUUGCGGGGAGGAGCAGGGAAAGCCCUUUUCAGACUGACACAGACAAAGGGAGGGAGAGUUUAAAGUCGCACUGGACCACAGAGGAAUGUUUAGUCAUAUCUGGAUCAUUUCUCCUGCUGCUGACUGAUACAAACUCUGAGUGUUCAAGCUGCUGGACUUCUACAUCACAUCAUGAGUGGACCGACAAAUGUUCAGUACCAUUCAGGUCUCUAUGGAGGAAACAACAACAACAGCAGCUCUCCUCUCUCCAGCCGGGGAAAUUCGCCCAUCGUAUGUGAGCGCUGUGGGGAGGUUUGUCGUGGGGAGGUGGUGCGUGUCAAAAGUACGCACUUCCAUGUUCACUGCUUCACCUGCCAAGUGUGCGGUUGUGAUCUGGCCCACUCGGGGUUCUUCCACCACUCUGGCGAGUACAUCUGCACAGAGGACUACCAGCGGCUCUACGGGACGCAGUGUGACAGCUGUGAGCAGUACAUCACUGGAGAGGUGGUGUCUGCACUGGGGAGGACGUACCACCGACACUGCUUCGUCUGCAGCAUCUGCAGGAGUCCGUUCCCGAUUGGAGACAGGGUGACCUUCUGUGGGAAGAAGUGUGUGUGUCAGCAGUGCUCACACACUCUGAGCAGCGACAAGCCCGUCAAGGUCCAUGGACCAAGCUACUGUGCAGGCUGUGGUGAGGAGAUCAAACAGGGUCAGUCUCUGCUGGCUCUGGAGCGUCAGUGGCACGUCAGCUGUUUUAAAUGCCGAACAUGUGGCUGCACACUCACCGGAGAGUACAUCAGCAAGGAUGGGACACCGUACUGUGAGACAGAUUACCACUCCCAGUUUGGGAUACGGUGUGACAGCUGCAACAGGUACAUCAGUGGCAGAGUACUUGAGGCUGGAGGAAAGCGCUACCACCCCAGCUGUGCUACGUGUGCCCGCUGCCACAUGAUGUUCCUUGAAGGAGAGGAAAUGUACCUUACAGGUUCAGAGGUCUGGCACCCCAUGUGUAAAGAAGCAGCUCGGCUGGAGAGGAAACUGAGGAUAAGACGAACCUCUGAGACGGCGUCCAUUUCUCCUCCAAACUCUUCUCCUCUGCUUGGCUCCCCUCACCGACUCAUUUGCUCUAAGGCUGACAGUGAUGUGUCAAAUUACAAGCAGCUGGCAGCUCUGCCCAGGAUCAAAGCCAUUUAUGACAUCCAGCGGCCCGACAUCAUCCCUUAUCAGGCAGACCAUGCACAUACCCACUUCUCAGACGACACUGUGGAGCAAUACAACUGUGGACGGUCAUUGGGCUCUUUGUCGCCAUACUCUCAUGAUCUCUUGGACGGGGUUGAGUUAAGAACGAGGCGUUCAUCCAGCUCCGCCUUCACUGACUCUCCUGCACACAGUCACCACGGAGGCUCCCCACUGCAUUGUUAUCUUCCUGCAUCUGAGAGAACCAACAUCUAUAGGAAAGCCCCCAUCUAUAAGAGACCAGACGUAUCCGCCUCUCCAAUAGCCAAUAAGAGUAAGACCAAUGAGAACCUCCUUAAUUCCAGCCGCCUUUCCUCCUCCAAUUGUAACAGCCUUUAUCACUCGGACUCCAACUACUUCCCGUAUACCGGCUCUCCUAAAGUCUCCAGGGUGAGAAGGUUUUCAUCUGGAGGAGAGGAGGAUGGAUGGAAUCACAACAUAAACAAGGGAAUUGGCAGAAUGAUCCUGAAGGAGGAGAUGAAGGCGCGGUCAGGUUGUUAUGACAAUGACCUGUGGGGGAGCAGACGCAGUUCUCGCUGCAGCAGCAGGGAGGCGCUGAACAAUCUGGGAUUCACCUCCCUCAACGGCUCUCCCAGGUCGCUCCACAGUGCAGACAGUGACUCAUACAUUGCCAAAUCGUCCUCGUUGCCAGGCUACGGCAAAAAUGGAAUAACCAGGCCUGGGAGUGCGGGUGCAGAUUAUUACCAGUAUGACAGCGACAACGCAGUUAAUUGGCAGAUCAGAGAAUACAAGGUAAGAUACCAGAGAGCUGUUACUGAGCCAAGGCUAAAAGGUCUGGAUGAAUGGAUUAUAGAUUAUGAUGUGUUGCCUGUUUCAAGUUCCUAUUGAAUGGUGAAUUCAUAUCACUCAGUAACACCCACAGCGUUCAGUGAAAGUUGUGAAUCUGUCUGACUCAUUGGCAUUGACAGCAAAGUGUAAGAACCAAACAGACACAGAGGGUAAUAGCACACUGUUUGUGAAAUUGAGGGCGACGAGACCAAUCCCUUCUGGGUAGAAAAACCUGAUGGGAAAAUGUUGAUAUUUUAUCAGUAGUCUGAGUUAUUUAAAGGGCAAAGUUAUAACGCCCCAUUUAAUGCUGUACUAACAAUGUAUUUCUUAUACGCCUUCAUAUUUUUCUUUCUCCCAUUUUACAUGUAACUUUACAUCAAAGAGUCAAAUCCAUUAAAUCCAUCAAGCUGUGUUUGUAGCAAUCCCAGAAAUGUUGUUAUACGUCCCUCACAACCCAUCUUUUCAUGGGUUCUAAGAAAUGUAUCAGCAGCUACUGUAAGCUGCAAGCUUAGCCUUAGCCGUUGCCGUGGUAAUGGUGUUAAUGCUAUUUUGGCCACUUGAGGGUGACAGAGGAACUUCAGCAUUUCCGUCACCUUAUCAGCCAUAUUAGGCAACUGAACCUUUUAGUAAACAAUGUGAAAGACAUAAUCUGUGACACACACUUGCAAGAGAAUCCGAAUCUGCCUGAUUUAUAGUUUCUGAGGGAACAUGUCUGAGUUGUUGUUGUUUGUGUGUGUGUGUGUGUGUGUGUUAGAUCUACCCAUAUGAGGCUCUAAUUGUGUCAAUCAGAAAGAAGCAGCGUCUCCCAAGUGAUGUCGACCGAGCCAGACUGGAGCGUCAUCUCUCACCAGAGGAGUUCUGCAGAGUUUUUGGCAUGUCCAUGGCUGCCUUUGAUCAUCUUGCUCAGUGGAAGAAGAACGAACUGAAGAAACAGGUUCGACUCUUUUGAAAAACUUAAGUCAAAAGAGGUGCUUUACCCAAUGCAAGUCCACUUCCAGCCAGCAGUGCUCUCUGAAAAGAAGCCUCCAAAAAAGCCUGAUGACCCAAGAUUGACUUUCUGUCUCUGAGGAACUGGCUUAAGUCAAGGUUUUUCCUCCUUUGGGUUGAAAAGAGUGGAACUGUUGGCAUCCUUAACUUAAGAAGCUUUAACUUAUGCAUACUUGGACCCCAUAGCAAUAUGUAAGGAGAGAGCCAACAGGCUAGACGGAAAAACGUCUGACUUAAGAGCAAGGAGACCUGAGAGGGGAUAAGUUAGACUUCUUGAGAGAGCAGAUGAAGAAUACUGGAGCUGGAACAGAACGAGGAUUGAUGAGGAGAGGGAGUGGUUGGCUGAUUCUCCAUCUCCAACCAGCAGAUGGCAUUGUGUUUGCAGGAGCAUUAGCAGAGCAGGUAGAGUGUUAGCUGAAGGACUUGGUACCAGAUUGAUGGUCUGCUACAAUGAGUCAAACACCAAUUUACGCCCAAAGUGACGGAGGUUGAUUUGGAAAGCAUCUUUGCUGCCUGAAAGACCGACUGAUAUGUUGCUGAUGACAAAAAUAACCCAAGCUGUGUGGACAACUGUGUGGUCCUCAACAUUAGGGGUUUGGACAUGACAUACAUGUAGUGUUUUAUAAUGUAUUGAUUCUAAAAUUCAAUGUUUUGAAUUACAAAAAAGUUUUUCUUUUGUAAUACAGGCAUGUGUUUGAUUGUAAUGUCAGUUUUUCUGGAGCCAUAUCAGUGUUUUUGGUUCUUCUUUAUGAUCUGGGCUGAAUGUAAGGUCACUGAAGUGGUCUUUGAAAUAUGAUUAGUCAUGGCUCUGAACUCAGAAAUGUUAUAGUUAAGUUUAGAAAUCACGUUUGAACACUUUACAAUAUUUGUGUUUCCCUUGUCCCUUUAAUGAAAUCAUAGUUUUGUUAAUUUAUACCUUCAGCUGCACUCAUGAAGGUGCUGGAUUAUGUUUAUGCAAAAUGAAACUGUGUGUGUCUGUGCGUAAUUACAGCAAAUUUAAGAUAGAGGGUUUUAAUGGAUUUGUAUUCAUAAACCCUCAAAAGAACGAUUAGGUUAAGACAGGAAUGAGGGAGAUUUAAAUAAAAAAAGGGAAUAGAGAAAAGGAAGCUAAAAGGGAAGGAAUGUGUGAAGAAGGGACGACAAAGCCAAUGUAAAAUAAACUUGUACUUGCUCUUGUAAAGAACUCCCUCAGAUACGUUAAUCAAGAGUUGACUUGUUUCUAAAGGAAAGUGUUCAACAUCUAUCAGGAAAUAGCACAAGUCUGGGCUUGAAGGGAUUUAACUACUCGUGUUUUUUACCUGAAUGUACAAGAUGGAAUAUUGUUUCCUGCUGCUGCGAAAACUGGUACCACCAGGUGUGUAUGUGUUUACAGGUCUUAAUUUAAAACAUUUAUAGUAUGCAAGCCCAUGUCAGCCAAGACAUCUCCUGAAUAAAUGAUUCAGGCAUCACUGUUUAUUUUGUAUUGUCCUUGUUCAUAUCAUUAAAGAGUGCAACUCAUGAUGAUAGCUG